CCUACGGGAGGCAGCAGUGAGGAAUAUUGGUCAAUGGACGCAAGUCUGAACCAGCCAUGCCGCGUGCAGGAAGACGGCUCUAUGAGUUGUAAACUGCUUUUGUACGAGGGUAAACGCAGAUACGCGUACAUGUCUGAAAGUAUCGUACGAAUAAAGAUCGGCUAACUCCGUGCCAGCAGACGCGGUAAUACGGAGGAUUCAAGCGUUAUCCGGAUUUAUUGGGUUUAAAGGGUGCGUAGGCGGUCGGAUAAGUUAGAGGUGAAAUCCCGAGGCUCAACUUCGGAAUUGCCUCUGAUACUGUUCGGCUAGAGAGUAGUUGCGGUAGGCGGAAUGUAUGGUGUAGCGGUGAAAUGCUUAGAGAUCAGACAGAACACCGAUUGCGAAGGCAGCUUACCAAGCUACUUCUGACGUUGAGGCACGAAAGCGUGGGGAGCAAACAGGAUUAGAUACCCUGGUAGUC
rnacentral:rRNA from 1 species